rnacentral:lncRNA from 1 species
AGUUCUGCUGCACCGCCUUCUCAUAGGGAAGCCUCUCGGGCGUCAGGAAGCUGGAGAGUGUCACCGAGCAGCUGUCCCCGAAGAGCCUGGGCAGGAGCAGCUGAUGGGCACAUGCUUGAAGCCGCCCCUGUCCCACCCGUGAGCCAGCGGAUGGCUGCGGAAACCCUCUCCCUUGGCCAAAGCCGUGAGGACUGCCUGGCAGCUCAGCAGCACAGACCAACCUCUACCGUUCGCUCCCCAGCCCCUGGCCUGUCAGUGGCGGGAACUUUGUUUCGCGGCCCGGGUGGCCACGGCCUGGGUUUCCUUCCGGAAGGGAAGGGGAGAGCGCGCGGAUGUGGUCUGCGGACUCAGCAGGCCAAGGGACACACCUGCCGCGAAGGUUACAGUCGGUGAAGUAGAUCGGGGACACGAACUUCUCCACCCGCUCGAAAGUGGUGCGCCAGUGCUUCAAGAAUGGCGCUGCCGCCAUGGCGAUGAGCCUUCCCUCCCCGGAAGAUCCUUGGUGCUGCCGGCUCGUUGCACCGCUUGGAACCAAAGGUUCCGGCAUCCAACCAGCUUACAGACCCGAGCAGCUUUUCUGGGAACACCACGGCUUUUGCAAGAGGCUGGCUCUGGGGAGCCUCCCAGUGAAACCCAGAAGCUGAGCCUUCGCGGUUCUCACCCUCAGCCUUGCUGUCAGACAGCUGGGUAAAUUAUUUUUAAAUACAAUGGAGUCUGGGAGAAAAUAAUACAGGAGGAAUCUAACUAGCCUGCUUUAAUGGAAAUAACCAGGUUUACAUUCCAAAUGCAGGUUACCCAGAAAAAUGAUCAAGUAAGAAAUAUACAAUGCCAAUUAAAAUAACUUGUCAAAACUUG